GACGAACGCUGGCGGCGUGCUUAACACAUGCAAGUCGAACGGAAAGGCCCUGCUUUUGCGGGGUGCUCGAGUGGCGAACGGGUGAGUAACACGUGAGUAACCUGCCCUUGACAGUGGGAGAACUUCAGGAAACUGGGGCUAAUACCGGAUAGGAGCUCCUGCUGCAUGGGGGGGGUUGGAAAGAUUCGGCGGUGGGGGAUGGACUCGCGGCUUAUCAGCUGGUUGGUGGGGUAGUGGCUUACCAAGGCUUUGACGGGUAGCCGGCCUGAGAGGGGGACCGGCCACCUUGGGCCUGAGAUACGCACCAGACUCCUACGGGAGGCAGCAGUGGGAAAUAUUGCACAAUGGGCGGAAGCCUGAUGCAGCAACCCCGCGUGCGGGAUGCCGGCCUUCGGGUUGUAAACCGCUUUCGCCUGUGCCGAAGCGUGAGUGACGGUAAUGGGUAAAGAAGCACCGGCUAACUACGUG
rnacentral:rRNA from 1 species